rnacentral:rRNA from 1 species
UACGGAGGGUGCGAGCGUUGUCCGGAAUCAUUGGGCGUAAAGGGCGCGUAGGUGGCCCGGUCAGUCUUUGGUGAAAGCGCGGGGCUCAACCCUGCGUCGGCCAGGGAUACUGCCGCGGCUCGAGCACUGUAGAGGCAGGCGGAAUUCCAGGUGUAGCGGUGAAAUGCGUAGAUAUCUGGAGGAACACCGGUGGCGAAGGCGGCAUCCUGGACCAACACUGACGCUGAGUGAGCGAAAGCCAGGGGAGCAAAGCGGG